UGCCAUCGCUAAGUCAAGUCUACUUCCGGUGACCUCGAGUUAUCCGUUUUCCUCAAUGGAAGUAUUGUCUGUUACAGCUUUGGCAGAUUGACGCUGGUCCGCGCCGAAUUUCAUUCUGAAGCUAGGCUGAUUGGUUUUCGUUUUGAAAGCCGAUCGUUAAGGACUAAGCAGUGUUUUGUUUUUGAGUUGAGAAAUGCUCGCCAUUCUGGCCUUUCAUAGCAGUUCUCUUAGUAACAUUUCACACAUCC
rnacentral:snoRNA from 1 species